AUUUCUGUUUGGAAAUUACAAGGGUUGGGGUGUCCUGAUUUUGAGGAUUGUAGAGCUAUGGAGGUACUCUGUAAUUAGUUUAACAUUUCUGAAUUGUAAACUAAUUCUAUCGUCAUUGUUUCACAAACAAACUAGCAACAAAUUGCAGUAGUAUAUACAGUAAUGUAUACUUAAACUGAUUUAUUUUAAACUAACAACAGUAGCUUUUAGUCUCAUUAGACUAACAGAUUUGUUUUCCUCAACAUGAUACUUGUAUAAAACAUGUUUAUCAUAGCUAUUCAAGCACUAAUAUGUCUAGUGUUAAAUGAACUGAUUGGGUGAUUAAUUCUGUACCCAUGUUAUAAUGUAUUUGAUGAUGAGAUCCUUCUAUUUGAUUGAAAAACAGCAGCUCCUACUUUGAUGCUAGCUAGCUCUAGUUCUGGGUUUUAUGUAACUCUAGUUCUAGUUCUGAAUUUGAGUUGUCAGUGAUGUGUAUAAGUUGUGCUUGUUUUGUAGAUUGCACUUGCACCCAUGAGAGUUGGAGAAGACCAACCUCCUCCUUCCUGGGACCUUGUACCCUCUCCUUCCUGGGACCUUGUACCCUCUCCAAGAGAAUUGCCUUGGUGCAAUUGACGGCACCCAUAUACCCAUAUCUAUAUCAUCUGACAAAGCAGCUCCAUUUAGAAAUAGGAAAAAUACUCUUAGCCAAAAUGUGAUGAUAGCUUGUGAUUUUGAUCUGAAGAUCACUUUCAUGUCUACUGGGUGGGAGGGGUCGGCUACAGUACCCCCUGGAAAGUUCUAUUUGGUUGAUGGUGGAUAUGCCAACACCAAUUCUUUCCUUGCACCAUAUCGUAAAGUCAGGUAUCAUCUAAAGGAGUAUGGGGCAGGUCGGCGUAGACCUCAAAACUACAAAGAGUUAUUUAACCAUCGCCAUGCGGUAUUGAGGAAUCAUGUUGAAUGGACUUUGGGGGUUGUAAAGAAGCGCUUCCCUAUCCUCAAAGUUGCAACUUUCCACAAAAUCAAGAACCAAGUGAAGAUACCAGUGGCUGCUGCAGUGUUCCAUAAUAUUAUUUGAUCACUGAAUGGGGAUGAGCAAUGGUUAAAUAACCAACCACAUAAUAUCCAUCCAAGCAAUUAUGUUGACCUGCCAGAUGGUGAUGAAGGCAAUGAUCAAAGCACUAAUCAAGGGAAUCUUUUGAGGGACACGAUAGCACAUCAAAUUUGGAAUGACUAUCGACAGCAUAGGAAUUAGUGGGUUGUAAUAAGUAGUAUAUUUGAUUUUCUUUUGAUGUUUUGUGAGCUGUAAUAACUACGACAUAUUACAAAUAUUAUGUUAUAAAUGAACUAUGGUGGUUGCAUGU